rnacentral:lncRNA from 1 species
GUACAUGACCUUCAUUCUCUUGGCCAAAGGCAGUCAUCGAGGGGAUUGUGGUGGAAGAAUGACACGGCUGGGGAGGAAUUGUUGGAAGUGUCUUAUGAAGCAUUUAAAGAAAGUCGAAAACAAGAUGAGUUUGGCUUUUGAAAGUAAGAAUAGAAUUAAGAGCUCCCCCUAUCUCCCCUCUCCUCCAGAUCCACUCUCCCUCCCCCAUUCCCCUACAGAAAAGAGCAGCUCUCCAAGGGACAGCAACCAAACGUGACAGAAUGAGAUACAAUAAGACAAGGCAAAAGCCCUUCCACUGAGGCUGGACACGGCAACCAGAGAUGAGGAAAAGAGUCCCAGGAGCAGGCAAAAUGUCAGAGACACACACUCCACUGUUAAAAAUCUCUCAAGACCCUGCACUC